GCGCCAGGCCCUCCACCCGAAGGGACGGGGCGCUGGAGGGGUCCCACAAGGAGAAGAAAGGCGGGCAGCGGCAUCCCACUGCCAGAAGGCUAGAGCAGCGCUCUCGCUGGCCUGGCUCACCUUCCCCUCAGCUCCGAACAAGAAGACAUUUCGCUAAUACAAAUCCUGGGAAAUAAGAAGAUGAAAGCAUCAUAUCAAAAAGUUGUGAGAAAGUGACCAUAUGACUUUAACCCUAUGUGGAUUAAGCUACUUCCUCACCACUCUUGGACCACAGGAGACAUACAAUUACACUGGACCUUCAAGGCUAUGCCAAACCCACCUGCCAGCAUCGCCAUCCUUUCCAUACAGUGGCUGCCAGGAACUCCACAGAGAAGUUGAGCAACUCGCCCCUCUAACUCUGAGGUAUCCUAAGUCGAUCUGGAUUUUCUAUUUCCCACCAAUUCCCAGCAGGAUAUUAGUGCAGAAGAGACCACAGUAUAU